AGCGAACGCUGGCGGCAGGCCUAACACAUGCAAGUCGAACGAACUCUUCGGAGUUAGUGGCGGACGGGUGAGUAACACGUGGGAACGUGCCUUUUGGUUCGGAAUAACUCAGGGAAACUUGUGCUAAUACCGAAUGUGCCCUUCGGGGGAAAGAUUUAUCGCCAUUAGAGCGGCCCGCGUCUGAUUAGCUAGUUGGUGAGGUAACGGCUCACCAAGGCGACGAUCAGUAGCUGGUCUGAUAGGAUGACCAGCCACACUGGGACUGAGACACGGCCCAGACUCCUACGGGAGGCAGCAGUGGGGAAUCUUGCGCAAUGGGCGAAAGCCUAGCGCAGCCAUGCCGCGUGAAUGAUGAAGGUCUUAGGAUUGUAAAAUUCUUUCACCGGGGACGACAAUGACGGUACCCGGAGAAGAAGCCCCGGCUAACUUCGUG
rnacentral:rRNA from 1 species